rnacentral:rRNA from 1 species
UAAGACCUUGCGCCGAUGGAUGAGCCGAAGUCGGAUUAGCUAGUUGGUAGGGUAACGGCCUACCAAGGCGACGAUCCGUAGCUGGUCUGAGAGGACGACCAGCCACACUGGGACUGAGACACGGCCCAGACUCCUACGGGAGGCAGCAGUGGGGAAUAUUGGACAAUGGGGGAAACCCUGAUCCAGCGACGCCGCGUGUGUGAAGAAGGCCUGCGGGUUGUAAAGCACUUUUAGUGGGGACAAAAAGCCAUUGAUUAAUACUUGGUGGUCUUGAUUUAACCCAAAGAAAAAGCACCGGCUAACUCUGUGCCAGCAGCCGCGGUAAUACAGAGGGUGCGAGCGUUAAUCGGAAUUACUGGGCGUAAAGCGCGCGUAGACGGUUUUGUAAGUCAGAUGUGAAAUCCCCGGGCUCAACCUGGGAACU